rnacentral:rRNA from 1 species
UUCCGUAGGGUGACCUGCGGAGGGAUCAUUACAGAGUUUUUAACUCCCAACCCUUGCGAACCGUACCCCGUUCUGUUCUCGUUGCUUCUGGCGGGAGGGGAGGGGCGCGUCCUUCGGGGCGUGCCUCUCUCUCCCAGGUCCCUUCGGGGCGCCCGCCAGCGGCCGCGAGCCGCCUGAACUUUUUAUAAACCAGUAACGAAACGUCUGAGAAACAAACAAAAACAGCCAAAACUUUCAACAACGGAUCUCUUGGCUCUGGCAUCGAUGAAGAACGCAGCGAAAUGCGAUACGUAAUGCGAAUUGCAGAAUUCAGCGAGUCAUCGAAUCUUUGAACGCACAUUGCGCCCGCCAGCAUUCUGGCGGGCAUGCCUGUCCGAGCGUCAUUUCCCCCCUCAGCAUACCCUUUGGGUGCGCUGGCGUUGGGGCUCCUCCGCCCUCUGUGGCGGCAGGGCCCUCAAAACCAGUGGCGGGCCCGUCUGGUUGGCUCCGAGCGCAGUACCGAACGCAAGUUCUCUCUCUCGCUCUGCAGCCCCGGUCGGUGCCCAGCCGUCAAACCGCGCAGGAGGCUCUGCUUGCAGAACCGCCUCGCAUUUUUACAAGGUUGACCUCGGAUCAGGUAGGAUUACCCGCUGAACUUAAGCAUAUCAAUAAGCGGAGGAA